GACGAACGCUGGCGGCGUGCUUAACACAUGCAAGUCGAACGGAAAGGCCCUGCUUUUGUGGGGUGCUCGAGUGGCGAACGGGUGAGUAACACGUGAGUAACCUGCCCUUGACUUUGGGAUAACUUCAGGAAACUGGGGCUAAUACCGGAUAGGAGCUCCUGCUGCAUGGUGGGGGUUGGAAAGUUUCGGCGGUUGGGGAUGGACUCGCGGCUUAUCAGCUUGUUGGUGGGGUAGUGGCUUACCAAGGCUUUGACGGGUAGCCGGCCUGAGAGGGUGACCGGCCACAUUGGGACUGAGAUACGGACCAGACUCCUACGGGAGGCAGCAGUGGGGAAUAUUGCACAAUGGGCGGAAGCCUGAUGCAGCAACGCCGCGUGCGGGAUGACGGCCUUCGGGUUGUAAAACGCUUUCGCCUGUGACGAAGCGUGAGUGACGGUAAUGGGUAAAGAAGCACCGGCUAACUACGUG
rnacentral:rRNA from 1 species